rnacentral:rRNA from 1 species
CCUACGGGGGGCAGCAGUGGGGAAUAUUGGACAAUGGGCGAAAGCCUGAUCCAGCCAUGCCGCGUGUGUGAAGAAGGCCUUCGGGUUGUAAAGCACUUUCAGUGGGGAAGAAAGCCUUGGGGCUAAUACCCUCGAGGAAGGACAUCACCCACAGAAGAAGCACCGGCUAACUCCGUGCCAGCAGCCGCGGUAAUACGGAGGGUGCGAGCGUUAAUCGGAAUUAUUGGGCGUAAAGCGCGCGUAGGCGGUCUGAUAAGCCGGUUGUGAAAGCCCCGGGCUCAACCUGGGAACGGCAUCCGGAACUGUCAGGCUAGAGUGCAGGAGAGGAAGGUAGAAUUCCCGGUGUAGCGGUGAAAUGCGUAGAGAUCGGGAGGAAUACCAGUGGCGAAGGCGGCCUUCUGGACUGACACUGACGCUGAGGUGCGAAAGCGUGGGUAGCAAACAGGAUUAGAUACCCGGGUAGUC